GAUGAACGCUAGCUACCGGUUUAACACAUGCAAGUCGAGGGGCAGCAUGUCGGUUGCUUGCAACCGAUGAUGGCGACCGGCGCACGGGUGAGUAACGCGUAUCCAACCUACCCUUGUCCAUCGGAUAACCCGUCGAAAGGCGGCCUAACACGAUAUGCGGUUCACAGCAGGCAUCUAACGUGAACGAAAUGUGAAGGAGAAGGAUGGGGAUGCGUCUGAUUAGCUUGUUGGCGGGGUAACGGCCCACCAAGGCGACGAUCAGUAGGGGUUCUGAGAGGAAGGUCCCCCACAUUGGAACUGAGACACGGUCCAAACUCCUACGGGAGGCAGCAGUGAGGAAUAUUGGUCAAUGGACGGGAGUCUGAACCAGCCAAGUAGCGUGCAGGAUGACGGCCCUAUGGGUUGUAAACUGCUUCUAUAGGGGGAUAAAGUGUGCCACGUGUGGCAUAUUGCAGGUACCCUAUGAAUAAGGACCGGCUAAUUCCGUGCCAGCAGCCGCGGUAAUACGGAAGGUCCGGGCGUUAUCCGGAUUUAUUGGGUUUAAAGGGAGCGUAGGCCGUCUUAUAAGCGUGUUGUGAAAUGUCGUGGCUCAACCUGGGCAUUGCAGCGCGAACUGUGAGACUUGAGUGCGCAGGAAGUAGGCGGAAUUCGUCGUGUAGCGGUGAAAUGCUUAGAUAUGACGAAGAACUCCGAUUGCGAAGGCAGCCUGCUGUAGCGCAACUGACGCUGAAGCUCGAAAGCGUGGGUAUCGAACAGG
rnacentral:rRNA from 1 species